AGUGGCUUGUCAGGGAUUUUCAGACAGGGAACGGAAGCCGUGAAGGCAGGUGUGAUGGAAGCAAAAAGAACACAGCUCGGACGAACACAGGACCCGCCGUGCCAGAUAAGACGCAGGGAGGGAAGAGCUAGCUGAAGGGAGGAAGGAUUCGGGUCGCGGGGGCCGCGAUCGGCUUCACUCACAGUCCAGUUACCAGAUACAUGAUCUUCAGAGUCUUAAAUCCUGCUGCACAGCCACUGCUACACUAGAUGACUUACAAAUGAUCAUCCAACAAAAAGAACAAGAAAAGCUGAUACUUACAGAGGUCGAUAUAACUACUAUGAAAAACUCAAUACAUAAUUGCAGCUUAUCAAAUAGCAUUACAGAUCUGGAUUGAUCACGUCCCCAGAAAAAUAAUAGUCUUUCUUCUAGCUUGGGCUGAAGAUUGACCAAAAGAAGGGGGACUGAGAAAUGAAGCAAAAACUGAAAUGAUCUACUGUACCAUUCCAUGAUAUGUAACCAAAACCAUUUAAGCUCUUACUGUUUUUAACAUCAUCUUGCUUAGGCUCAUAUGUUACAAUAUAAGACCACAAAUAAAUCAAUUUAACUGCAA